CUCGUGUCGCCUUGGUAACGGAGGAAAAGAAAAGGAGGGAGUAGGGGAGCCAGAGGGAAGGACAGGAGAGGAGGAGAGGCACCCAGAACAAUCUGCUCACCUCGCCACCGCCGUGUCAGAAACUACUUGGUUGAAAUUAGGCGAGAUUAGCUGCCUCCCGAAGAGACGUCGUCGCGUCUUCAGGUGUGUUGAAUUAAGAGGAACAGGUGGCAAUUUUCAAGUAUUCAUUCACUCCAUCACCAUCAUGUGGCGACUCGCUCUUAUUCGUCUCAGCAUGCGCUGCUGUGACAGUGUGCAUGCAUGUGUGCCAAAUGGCAGCACAGUGCAUUGCAUGGCUAGUGCAAGUCGUAAAAUGUGCACUGACAGCCAGGGUGACCUGCUUCAUGAGGACCAGAUUGCACUAAAAGGAAGCCCGACGGAAGCGGGCAGUUCCAUGUGCACAAAGCCUGCAGGCUGGGACCUCACUUGUCUUUUAUCUGUUAUUUUUAUUAAUAUUUACCAUCUGUCAGCUAAAAGGACUGCUUGAUUCAGCCCAAGCAGCAUGCUUU